AGUGAACGCUGGCGGUAGGCCUAACACAUGCAAGUCGAACGGCAGCACAGUAAGAGCUUGCUCUUACGGGUGGCGAGUGGCGGACGGGUGAGGAAUACAUCGGAAUCUACUUUUUCGUGGGGGAUAACGUAGGGAAACUUACGCUAAUACCGCAUACGACCUACGGGUGAAAGCAGGGGAUCUUCGGACCUUGCGCGAUUGAAUGAGCCGAGGUCGGAUUAGCUAGUUGGCGGGGUAAAGGCCCACCAAGGCGACGAUCCGUAGCUGGUCUGAGAGGAUGAUCAGCCACACUGGAACUGAGACACGGUCCAGACUCCUACGGGAGGCAGCAGUGGGGAAUAUUGGACAAUGGGCGCAAGCCUGAUCCAGCCAUGCCGCGUGGGUGAAGAAGGCCUUCGGAUUGUAAAGCCCUUUUGUUGGGAAAGAAAAGCAGCAGGUUAAUACCCCGCUGUUCUGACGGUACCCAAAGAAUAAGCACCGGCUAACUUCGUG
rnacentral:rRNA from 1 species